rnacentral:rRNA from 2 species
GCUUGCUUUCUGAUUCAGCGGCGGACGGGUGAGUAAUGCCUAGGAAUCUGCCUGAUAGUGGGGGACAACGUUUCGAAAGGAACGCUAAUACCGCAUACGUCCUACGGGAGAAAGCAGGGGACCUUCGGGCCUUGCGCUAUCAGAUGAGCCUAGGUCGGAUUAGCUAGUUGGUGAGGUAACGGCUCACCAAGGCGACGAUCCGUAACUGGUCUGAGAGGAUGAUCAGUCACACUGGAACUGAGACACGGUCCAGACUCCUACGGGAGGCAGCAGUGGGGAAUAUUGGACAAUGGGCGAAAGCCUGAUCCAGCCAUGCCGCGUGUGUGAAGAAGGUCUUCGGAUUGUAAAGCACUUUAAGUUGGGAGGAAGGGCAUUAACCUAAUACGUUAGUGUUUUGACGUUACCGACAGAAUAAGCACCGGCUAACUUCGUGCCAGCAGCCGCGGUAAUACGAAGGGUGCAAGCGUUAAUCGGAAUUACUGGGCGUAAAGCGCGCGUAGGUGGUUUGUUAAGUUGAAUGUGAAAGCCCCGGGCUCAACC